rnacentral:lncRNA from 1 species
CGACUUAUAAUGUCUUCAGAAUAAUAUUUUACUGAUACGAAGAUAUUCCGAGAAAACUUCGCGAUGAAGAAACGUCAAUCUUCAAAAACGUCGAGCUUCUAAACCGUCGUGCUUCAAAAAUGUAAUUCUUCCAAAACUGCGGUAUGAUCAAUCUAAGACAUUUCUAACAAUGGUAGAGCAGCUUAUCUCAACUCAUGCUUCACUCACGAUCCAUUCUUCGAACUUCUCGUACUUCAAAUUUCCCGAUCGAUCUGUAUUGCCUGCGACUCAACCACAAAGAUACUCGACCAUUCUCUCUCUCUUUUCUUUUCUUCUUUUUUUUUUUUAACGGGUUUCUACAUCGACCCCCCUUAAUAGAAUUCGUCCUCGAAUUCUUAGUUGCGCAAUUGCUCGUCAUCACAACAUUCUCCACUCGUCUCCAUAACCUCUUUACUCUGUCCACAACUGUUCCUUGAGUGUCCUCUUCAAGGUCUCCACAAUCAUCUUCAUAUCUCAUCGCUGGAAUGAUCACUGAGUCAUCCUCUUUCUUUUACUCUUCCAUAACACCCUCAUUGCCCAUGACACUAUCUUGUCCAGAUUCCUCAAAUCCUUUCUUGAUCUUCGUCUUCCCAAAUACUGAUGAAGUCCUUCCCCAACGAAGUCUUGUUUCCUCCCAUCUGUCCAGUCCAUACCACUGUCCAGUUCGCUGAAUCUGCCUCCACUCUUUCGCUUUGGGUUUGGGUUUGGCCUCAAACUCCCU